rnacentral:rRNA from 1 species
UACAGAGGUCUCAAGCGUUGUUCGGAUUCAUUGGGCGUAAAGAGCGUGUAGGCUGCUCGGUAAGUCCGCUGUAAAAAGUCAAAGGCUCAACCUUUGAAUGUCAGUGGAUACUGCCGGACUAGAGUCCGGAAGAGGCGAGUGGAAUUCCCGGUGUAGCGGUGAAAUGCGCAGAUAUCGGGAGGAACACCGAUGGCGAAGGCAGCCUCCUGGGCCAGCACUGACGCUCAUGCACGAAAGCGUGGGGAGCAAACAGG